rnacentral:lncRNA from 1 species
CUUCAUUUGAGAAUAAGUAAAAAUGUCAGGGUCCUUUAAAUGCAAACCUAACGAUCCUUGUGCCGGAAGUGGCGUAACCGGAAGACAAACCGACACUUCUAUGGCGGUGUUUUCCACUGUGACUUCGCUAUUCGCUGAUGCGGUAUCUAAGCGAAGAUUUUUGCUUUUCGUAGUGGUAUGUUUCGUAAAGAUGACUCAUCUGCACACCGUCUGUCAGCUAUAGCCAAAGUAUAUAUACAUUAAGCCGUAAUCGAAGAGAUGGAUGACAUCCAGGAGAGCUCAGAGCCAGGCAGUCCUCUGUACAGUCCCUGUGUGGAGCCAGACACACCGGAUUCCCUGAAUAAUGCCUGUCUGUUGAAUGACAGUGACCCCCUGUUUGAAGACCUUGGACACUUUCAUCAAUUUUCCUCCACUUUUGUUCCCGAGACCCCUAGCCCCUUGACUCAGAGAAGAAAACGUAAUUUCCUGAAAGAUAGCGACAGAAAUGUGGCAACAUCAUCCUGUUCAGAUGGAAGAAAAUGGGAAAGACAUGAACACGUUCCAGGUUACCUUAGCACCACUCCAAGCUCCCAGAGAACGAUGAAGCGGCGCAGGCUGGAGGACUCGAGCGCAAGCACGCUGUGUGGACACUCUUCCGUUACACCAGGAGCAAACGGAUUUGUAAUGGCCUCGUCUCUUUUACCCUCUGAUUUUACAUGGUUGGAGUCACCGCGUCCAACAACCUCCUCUGCUUCUCAUGUUUCUGCAUCCUCCAAACCCUCGUCCUCAGCUGGGUCUUCCACGUCUGCGCUGGAUCAAACUAGUGAUCCGGCAUAUUUAAAUGAGCUGCUAGUAAUGGGUCACCCCUCUAAGCAAAAGACACUAAACACCAGCAAUGGAAGGGAACAGAGGUCCAAAAAGACCAAAUCUAAAGCCUCUAAAAGUACAUCAGCACACUCUUCUUUACACGCAAUAGAGCAUGAAGCUUCACUGCUGGAUGCAGCAAAGAGAAUGCAGGAACCAGCAAGUUCACUUGUGUGUCCGAUACCAGAAGAUAUUGUCAUCAUAGAGGAGGAUGCUGAUGAUGUCGUGGUGGAGAGCAUGGUUCGCUCCGUUCAGAUGUCUGAGGAUGAAGCGUAUGCCAGAAGCCUUCAGGUACGAAGCUUCGCUCUCCUGAUCCUUCCCCUGAAACAAUAGAGAAGUGACUAACUCUGUUGUUCUGGUGUUUGCAGGAACAGUUUGAUAUGGAGGAGCGAAUGGAGCAGCAGAGGCGACAGAGCAGAUCGCCAAGCAGAAACAACCACAUGGUCAGUUUGGGUUUUUGCUUUCUUUGGAGCACUGAAUGAUGGUGCUGUGAUCAUACUCAAACAAAAAUGGAUGGUUUCCUGCAGGUUGAUCCGUAUGUUGGCUUGGGCUGGAUUCCUCCUUGGGCCUCAAUGAUCAACUCUGCACCUUUCUCACACGGACCCUCUGAGCUUUCAGAGCUGCAGCAGGUCAUCUUUGGAGAGCAACCCCGUAAGUCACCAUACAUGAGCCAAUCUCUGUCUUGAUGAUUUCUUUUGAAUUAAAAGCAGGUUUUAAUACAUUUUAAAAAUCAUAUUAG